AUUGAACGCUGGCGGCAGGCCUAACACAUGCAAGUCGAACGAGUGGCGGACGGGUGAGUAAUGUCUGGGAAACUGCCUGAUGGAGGGGGAUAACUACUGGAAACGGUAGCUAAUACCGCAUACCAUCAGAUUUGCCCAGAGGGGAUUAGCUAGUUGGUGGGGUAACGGCUCACCAGGGCGACGAUCCCUAGCUGGUCUGAGAGGAUGACCAGCCAAACGGGAACUGAGACACGGGCAAGACUCCUACGGGAGGCAGCAGUGGGGAAUAGUGGACAAUGAGCGCAAGCCUGAUGCAGCCAUGCGGGGUGGAUGAAGAAGGCCUUGGGGUUGUAAAGUACUUUAAGCGGGGAGGCGUUACCCGCAGAAGAAGCACCGGCUAACUCCGUGCCAGCAGCCGCGGUAAUUC
rnacentral:rRNA from 1 species